rnacentral:lncRNA from 1 species
AGCUCCCCCUUUUUAAUAGAAAGCUGGCUCUUGAAAACACUGGAAUUGUACCAUUUCUAUACUCUCGUAACAGGUCAGGUGCCAAAGCUUGAUAAACGAGAUAGAAUUACACAAUGGGAUCAAAGAGACAGUCAGCCCAGUUGAUUUCCAGAGGAAAAGCUUACCAGGAUACAAAGGAGAGAGAGAAAAAACAGGACGCGGCUUGAAACCAGUUCUCCCCCGAAGUACAAAUCUGAGAGUAGGAGCCCCGUCUGUGGCUGCUGUUGGCCAAUAGCCCAAGCCUGCUCACAGAGACAUGAUGGUUUGGUGAACUGGGGAAAAUGUAAGCUAGUUAUUUGGGUGAAAAGGAAUUAUACAGCCAAAUUAUAUCUUUAACCUUGUUGGACAUCAGUGGGAGGAGCGAUUUGUCUCCUUCUGAGUUAUUUAAGGAAUCGGUUCCAUCCAUCUGCCCCUCAAUGUCUGCAUGCUUUUUCAGUGCCUUCCUCUCCUCCCUUUCUGGUGACCU